GAGGAAAGCUGGCGGCGUGCCUAAUACAUGCAAGUCGAGCGAACAGACGAGGAGCUUGCUCCUCUGACGUUAGCGGCGGACGGGUGAGUAACACGUGGAUAACCUACCUAUAAGACUGGGAUAACUUCGGGAAACCGGAGCUAAUACCGGAUAAUAUAUUGAACCGCAUGGUUCAAUAGUGAAAGACGGUUUUGCUGUCACUUAUAGAUGGAUCCGCGCCGCAUUAGCUAGUUGGUAAGGUAACGGCUUACCAAGGCAACGAUGCGUAGCCGACCUGAGAGGGUGAUCGGCCACACUGGAACUUAGACACGGUCCAGACUCCUACGGGAGGCAGCAGUAGGGAAUCUUCCGCAAUGGGCGAAAGCCUGACGGAGCAACGCCGCGUGAGUGAUGAAGGUCUUCGGAUCGUAAAACUCUGUUAUUAGGGAAGAACAAAUGUGUAAGUAACUAUGCACGUCUUGACGGUACCUAAUCAGAAAGCCACGGCUAACUACGUG
rnacentral:rRNA from 1 species